UACGUAGGGUGCAAGCGUUGUCCGGAAUUAUUGGGCGUAAAGAGCUCGUAGGCGGUUUGUCGCGUCUGCUGUGAAAACCCGAGGCUCAACCUCGGGCCUGCGGUCGAUACGGGCAUCACUGGAGUUCGGCAGGGGAGACUGGAAUUCCUGGUGUAGCGGUGAAAUGCGCAGAUAUCAGGAGGAACACCGGUGGCGAAGGCGGGUCUCUGGGCCGAUACUGACGCUGGAGACGGCGAAAAGCGUGGGGAGCAAACAGG
rnacentral:rRNA from 1 species